rnacentral:rRNA from 1 species
AACGAACGCUGGCGGCAUGCCUAACACAUGCAAGUCGAACGAAACCUUUAGGUCUUGUGUCGCUCGGCUGCGUACUGCGUGUUAACCUGCCCUUAGUUUCGGAUUAAUUCCCCGCAUGGGGUGGUAAUAUCGGUUAUUGUCUUCGUACCAAAGAUGUAUCGCUUUUGGUUGUGCCCGCGUUGGAUUUUCUAGUUUGUAGUGUAAAAGCCUACCAAGGCGACUACCCAUAGCUGGUCUGUGAGGAUGAUCAGCAACACUGGGACUGAGACACGGACCAGACUCCUACGGGAGGAAGAAGUGGGGAAUAUUGGACAAUGGGCGAAAGACUGAGCCAGCAAUGCCGCGUGAGUGAUGAAGGACUUAGGGUUGUAAAGCUCUUUUAACAGGGAUGAUAAUGACAGUACCGGGAGAAUAAGCGCCGGCUAACUCCGUG